rnacentral:rRNA from 1 species
AUUGAACGCUGGCGGCAGGCCUAACACAUGCAAGUCGAACGGUAACAGGAAGAAGCUUGCUUCUUUGCUGACGAGUGGCGGACGGGUGAGUAAUGUCUGGGAAACUGCCUGAUGGAGGGGGAUAACUACUGGAGACGGUAGCUAAUACCGCAUAACGUCGCAAGACCAAAAAGGGGGACCUUCGGGCCUCUUGCCAUCGGAUGUGCCCAGAUGGGAUUAGCUAGUAGGUGGGGUAACGGCUCACCUAGGCGACGAUCCCUAGCUGGUCUGAGAGGAUGACCAGCCACACUGGAACUGAGACACGGUCCAGACUCCUACGGGAGGCAGCAGUGGGGAAUAUUGCACAAUGGGCGCAAGCCUGAUGCAGCCAUGCCGCGUGUAUGAAGAAGGCCUUCGGGUUGUAAAGUACUUUCAGCGGGGAGGAAGGGAGUAAAGUUAAUACCUUUGCUCAUUGACGUUACCCGCAGAAGAAGCACCGGCUAACUCCGUG